GGUUAAGUGACUAAGCGUACACGGUGGAUGCCUUGGCAGUCAGAGGCGAUGAAGGACGUAGUAACUUGCGAUAAGCGUAGAUGAGGCAGUAACAGCCACUUGAGUCUACGAUUUCCGAAUGGGGAAACCCACUGGCAUAAGCCAGUAUCAUUGAGUGAAUACAUAGCUCAAUGAAGCGAACCGGGAGAACUGAAACAUCUAAGUACCCCGAGGAAAAGAAAUCAACCGAGAUUCCGAAAGUAGCGGCGAGCGAAAUUGGAUUAGCCCUUAAGCUUUACAUGUGUUAGACGAACGGUCUGGAAAGUCCGACGAUACAGGGUGAUAGUCCCGUAGUUGUAGAUGCAUGUUCAGUGAAAUCGAGUAGGGCGGGACACGUGUUAUCCUGUCUGAAUAUGGGGGGACCAUCCUCCAAGGCUAAAUACUCCUGACUGACCGAUAGUGAACCAGUACCGUGAGGGAAAGGCGAAAAGAACCCCUGUGAGGGGAGUGAAAUAGAACCUGAAACCGUGUACGUACAAGCAGUAGGAGCACCUUCGUGGUGUGACUGCGUACCUUUUGUAUAAUGGGUCAGCGACUUAUAUUCAGUGGCAAGGUUAACCAUCUAGGGGAGCCGUAGGGAAACCGAGUCUUAACUGGGCGCCAUAGUCUCUGGAUAUAGACCCGAAACCGAGUGAUCUAGCCAUGGGCAGGUUGAAGGUUGAGUAACAUCAACUGGAGGACCGAACCGACUAAUGUUGAAAAAUUAGCGGAUGACUUGUGGCUAGGGGUGAAAGGCCAAUCAAACUCGGAGAUAGCUGGUUCUCCCCGAAAGCUAUUUAGGUAGCGCCUCGGACGAAUACUACUGGGGGUAGAGCACUGUUAAGGCUAGGGGGUCAUCCCGACUUACCAACCCUUUGCAAACUCCGAAUACCAGUAAGUACUAUCCGGGAGACACACGGCGGGUGCUAACGUCCGUCGUGGAGAGGGAAACAACCCAGACCGCCAGCUAAGGUCCCAAAUUACAGCUAAGUGGGAAACGAUGUGGGAAGGCUUAGACAGCUAGGAUGUUGGCUUAGAAGCAGCCAUCAUUUAAAGAAAGCGUAAUAGCUCACUAGUCGAGUCGGCCUGCGCGGAAGAUGUAACGGGGCUAAGUUGUAAACCGAAGCUGCGGCAAUGUUCUUUGAACAUUGGGUAGGGGAGCGUUCUGUAAGCCGUUGAAGGUGUGUUGUAAAGCAUGCUGGAGGUAUCAGAAGUGCGAAUGCUGACAUGAGUAACGACAAGGGGGGUGAAAAACCUCCCCGCCGGAAGACCAAGGGUUCCUGUCCAACGUUAAUCGGGGCAGGGUA
rnacentral:rRNA from 1 species